GAUGGGUCGUUCUUGAACGAUUCGUUCAUUUUGAACGAAUCUUUAAUGUGACUCGGGACGAACGAGUCGUCUCGGGGAGUGAUUCGUUCAGUCGCGCAUGCGCAACAUCCUAUUAGGUCCUGUACUGGAAUUAGUUCAACUGUUUUAGAGUCGUUCGUUCACCUUAUGGGGCUGUCACGUGAUGAACGAACGACUCAAACCCGAGGACUCGAGAAAUGAACUAAUCAAUUCUCUUUCCGGCUCAGACUGCAUAGGUUAACAUUAUGGGGCUGUCACGUGAUGAACGAACGACUCGAACCCGAGGACUCGAGAAAUGAACUAAUCAAUUCUCUUUCCGGCUCAGACUGCAUAGGUUAACAUUACGGGGAUGUCACGUGAUGAACGAACGACUCAAACCCGAAAACUUGUCAGAUAAGAGGUGAGGUGAGCGAAUCAUAGACUAAAGACCCAGG